AUUGAACGCUGGCGGCAGGCCUAACACAUGCAAGUCGAACGAGUGGCGGACGGGUGAGUAAUGUCUGGGAAACUGCCCGAUGGAGGGGGAUAACUACUGGAAACGGUAGCUAAUACCGCAUACCAUCGGAUGUGCCCAGAUGGGAUUAGCUUGUAGGUGAGGUAACGGCUCACCUAGGCGACGAGCCCUAGAUGGUCUGAGAGGAUGACCAGGCAGACUGGAACUGAGCGACGGUCGUGCCUGCUGCGGGAGGCAGCAGUGGGGAAUAUUGGACAAGUGGCGAAAGCUCGAUCCAGCCAUGUCGCGUGUGUGAAGAAGGUCUUCGGAUUGUAAAGCACUUUAAGUUUGGAGGCGGUACCAACAGAAUAAGCACCGGCUAACUUCGUGCCAGCAGCAGCGGUAAUUC
rnacentral:rRNA from 1 species